rnacentral:rRNA from 1 species
AUGAACGCUAGCGACAGGCCUAACACAUGCAAGUCGAGGGGCAGCGCGGAGCAAGCUUGCUUGCUUGGCGGCGACCGGCGCACGGGUGCGUAACAGGUGUGCAAUCUGUCCAUAAUCGGGGAAUAGCCCAGCGAAAGUUGGAUUAAUGCUCCAUGUGAGUAGAGGAGGCAUCUCUUUUAUUUGAAACGUAAGGAUUAUGGGUGAGCACGCUUCUGAUUAGGUAGUUGGUGAGGUAACGGCUCACCAAGCCGACGAUCAGUAGGGGUUCUGAGAGGAAGGUCCCCCACAUUGGAACUGAGACACGGUCCAGACUCCUACGGGAGGCAGCAGUGAGGAAUAUUGGUCAAUGGUCUGACGACUGAACCAGCCAUGCCGCGUGAAGGUCACGGCCCUAUGGGUCUUAAACUUCUUUUGUAAGGGAGCAAUAAGUCUCACGUGUGGGAUGAUGAGAGUACCUUACGAAUAAGCAUCGGCUAACUCCGUG